UACAGAGGUCCCAAGCGUUGUUCGGAUUCACUGGGCGUAAAGGGUGCGUAGGUGGUGGGGUAAGUCGGAUGUGAAAUCUCCAGGCUCAACCUGGAAACCGCAUUGGAAACUGCCUUACUAGAGGGUUUGAGGGGGGAUUGGAAUACUUGGUGUAGCGGUGAAAUGCGUAGAUAUCAAGUGGAACACCAGUGGCGAAGGCGAGUCCCUGGAAAAUACCUGACACUGAGGCACGAAAGCUAGGGGAGCAAACAGG
rnacentral:rRNA from 1 species